rnacentral:lncRNA from 1 species
UCUAGCACUAAAGCUAGAAGGGAAGCUUGAGGCCACAUUGUGGAGUGCCAAGAGGUUUGAACUUUUGCCUGGUUUGAACUUUUACCUUCUUAAUCUUUUCCCCGCAUCCCCACAUUUGAGGACAGGACACCUCCAGGAACUGCAGCUCAGCAACAGGGGUUCAGCGUGAGCGCGGCCUGGGGAGGGUCAUCGCCUUUUUGGGGAGUGUGGGGAGAAACGCGGCUCGCCUUGUCGUGGCUGGCGAUACGCCUCUGCAGGAAGGGUGUGUCUCCCCGCUUGAGGAUUCUCCCUAUAGAUAAAGAGGAGACUCAGCAGAGCCUUAAUUAGAGAUCACAGAGGACUGACAACGAGCGUCCGGAAGACGAAUUGGCAGCGAGGUGCAUGGAUUCGAUACAGAAGCUGGAGAUAGAGUCCAGCUAACAGACCACUGCAGUUCGACGGAGCCAGAGUGAGGCAACGAGGAGAGAUGUCGGGGAAGGAAAGGGGAUGGGACUUGGGGACUGGAGCGGCUCGAGAGCGACGGAGAAGGGGGCGUUAGGCUCUAAGGAUUCUCUUACUGUGCCUCCUCCCCGUGUCCUCGGGUGGCGGCUGCGCAGCCCUCCAGCCCUCAGAGCUGCCCUGCAGCACCUUGGCCACUAGGAGGCAGGCCCGCCUUAUCUGGAGCCCCGGCCGCCGCUCACUCCAGGGAGGGCUGCGCUGCUGCUUAAAUUCCAAGUCAGGCCAGCCCCUGGAACGCUUAAUGGGAGCUUAGAUUUAGAACAGUUGAUUUUCAUUGAGACGGAAAUUUGGACAGUCUCCCACUUGAUUGAAAACGGCUAGAAACAAGGCUUACGGUAGAGCAAUGAAUGCCAGAGUGCAGGCGCCGGUGCCCAGGCGGCCCGGGGAACAGGAGGGCCGGAGGAGGAAACAGCUGCCUGCAAAACACCAGCAGCGCCCUUAAUUAACACCAGUGCUGGCCAGGGGGAUUGUGCUUCCGGAAAUUCCCAACGUCCUUUCCCUGCUUGCCCAGGGCCAUUCCAUUAUACAGUUUCAGACCAGUCCCAGGUCUGAAAUGGAAAGAGAUGUUACCCUAGAUGCCCGGAGACAGCGGGGCCGCAGAGACCUCGCACAGCCGAAUAGCAGUGGAGCAGGGAAGGAAGAGCUGAAGGACCCUGGGGAUGAUUGAACAUAGCCUCUCACCAGCGCGCUCAGGAAUUGUCCUGAGAGCAGCAGGAGGAGUGGUAAUCCUGCAAGAGAAGGUGGCUUUGUUGAGAGCCUUUAAAUUCAGCUUUAUUACUCGCCAGUCUCCUUCCUUGUGUUCUGGCCAUAUUUCUUAUCCAUUAGGCAGCCAGCCCUUCACAUGAGAUCCUCCUGGUUUUGCAUUCUUUUCUGCAAUGCUGACACUUC